AGCGAGAUGGUGUAAUUGGUAACACAGCAGUCUCAUGAGCUGUUAUUUAAGAUUCAAAUUCUUAUCUCGCUA
rfam:Hebeloma cylindrosporum h7 unplaced genomic scaffold scaffold_62, whole genome shotgun sequence.